ACAGACGGUACCAGAGUACCGCGGGACAAGAGAAACCCCGUGGGAAGCAGGGGGGACCACCCUCCAAGGCAAAACACAGAUAUCGACCGAUAGCGCAUAGUACCAUGAGGGAAAGGUGAAAAGCACCCCGGGAGGGGAAUGAAACAGAACCUGAAACCGUAUGUUUACAAGCAGUCGGAGACCGUAUAUAUAUCAGGUCGACGGCGUGCCUAUUGAAGAAUGAACCGGCGAGUUAUGAGGUCCAGCGAGGUUAAGCAGGAAAUGCGGAGCCGAAGCGAAAGCGAGUCUUAACAGGGCGAGUAGUUGGACUGCAUAGACCCGAAACCACAGUGAUCUACCCAUGUCCAGGUUGAAGCACAGGUAAAAAUGUGUGGAGGACCGAACCUAUAUCCGUUGAAAAGGGUUAGGAUGAGGUGUGGGUAGGGGUGAAAUUCCAAUCGAACGUGGAGAUAGCUGGUUCUCCCCGAAAUAGCUUUAGGGCUAGCCUCAGGGUAAAGAUUGCAGGCGGUAGAGCACUGAUCAGGAGAGGGACCUACCCGGUUACCAAACCCAGUCAAACUACGAAUGGCUGCAAUUAUACCUGGGAGUCAGACUACGACUUAUAAGGGCCGUGGUCAAAAGGGAAACAGCCCAGAUCAUCAGCUAAGGUCCCAAAUGCCGUGCUAAGUGGCGAAGGAUGUGGCGUUUCAUAAACAACCAGGAUGUUGGCUCAGAAGCAGCCACCAUUUAAAGAGUGCGUAAUAGCUCACUGGUCGAGAGACGCUGCGCCGAAAAUGUCCGGGGCUCAAGCACGGAACCGAAGCUAUGGCAUUGCGUAAGCAAUGGGUAGGGGAGCGUUCUUAUGGGGAAGAAGCAUUACCGUAAGGAGAUGUGGACACAUAAGAAGUGAGAAUGCCGGUAUGAGUAUCGAAAAGAAAGGUGAGAAUCCUUUCCACCGAAAGCCCGAGGGUUCCUGAGCAACGAUCGUCGUCUCAGGGUAAGUCGGGACCUAAGCCGAGGCACAGACGCAUAGGCGAUGGACAACAGGUUGAAAUUCCUGUACCGGAUGGAGUCAUUUGAGCAAUGGAGUGACGCAGGAGGGCACAUGAUCGCGCGACUGGAAGAGCGCGUCCAAGUGCGUAUGUUGAAUCGGAGGCAAAUCCCCGAUUCUGAAAGCAGAGACAUGAUGGGGAGUUAUAAGCGAUUAUGACGAACUCAUGGAUCCCACACUGCCAAGAAAAACUUCUAGCGAGACGAAAUCCGCCCGUACCGUAAACCGACACAGGUAGGCGGGGAGAGAAUCCUAAGGUGCGCGGGAAAACCCUCGUUAAGGAACUCGGCAAAUUGCAUCCGUAACUUCGGGAGAAGGAUGGCCCUGAGUAGGCGAAGUGCAGAAACGCACGGAACAGAAAAGGGUGGCAGAAAAGAGGCCCAAGCAACUGUUUACCAAAAACACAGGUGCCUGCGAAAGCGAAAGCUGAAGUAUAGGUGCUGACGCCUGCCCGGUGCUGGAAGGUUAAGGAGAGAGGUUAGCGCAAGCGAAGCUUUGAACUGAAGCCCCAGUGAACGGCGGCCGUAACUAUAACGGUCCUAAGGUAGCGAAAUUCCUUGUCGGGUAAGUUCCGACCCGCAUGAAAGGCGUAAUGAUUUGGGCGCUGUCUCAACGAGGGGCCCGGUGAAAUUGAAAUACCUGUGAAGAUGCAGGUUACCCGCGACUGGACAGAAAGACCCCAUGGAGCUUUACUGCAGCUUGAGAUUGAAUCCCGGUGGCAGACGCACAGGAUAGGUGGGAGGCUUUGAGAUAGUGACUUUGGUUGCUAUGGAGCCGACGUUGGGAUACCACCCUUCUGUUGCUGGGAUUCUAACGCGAAGAUUAACAACCUUGCGGACCAUCUCAGGUAGGCGGUUUGACUGGGGCGGUCGCCUCCGAAAGAGUAACG
rnacentral:rRNA from 1 species